rnacentral:tRNA from 1 species
AGAGAUAUAGCUCAGCAGCACAGCAUCUGCCUGGCAAGCAUGAGGCCCUGAGUCCGAAUCCCAGUACCUCUC